rnacentral:misc_RNA from 1 species
AUUAUAAACUUGAAUCAAUUCCUGCUGUCCUUGUCAUUGAUCCCAUCACAGGGCAAAAAAUGCACUCUUGGUUUGGAAUGGUUCAACCUGAACGGUUACUUGAGGAUCUAUUGCCCUUCAUGGAUGGAGGUCCGAAGGAUCAUCAUGUGACCUUAUCUCAUAAACGUCCAAGAGAGAGUUCCUUGACUCCACCAAAAGUUAGAGAAGAGGAUUACG